rnacentral:lncRNA from 1 species
GCUUAAUGUGUAUUAAAAAUAUAGUAUACCUUAAAAUAAAAUAUUAAGAGUGAAAUUAAUCUAAAAGCUUGUGUAGUAGUAUAAUAACCCUGGAUGGGGAUUAUAGGCUCAGAUAGGAGUUGAACAUUAAGGUCAUGGUAUGACUCAGACCCAGAGAUAUCUAAUAUUUGGUUACUUCCUCCUGUGAGUUUUAUAGUCCUUAUUAAAAAAUAUAACAUUCCAUCUGUAUUUUGAACAAGAAUUCAGUCUGAGUUAUAGCCAAUCAUUCUGGUUGUUAAGGAUAAUUUUUAGAAAACUGAGGAGGACCCCCCAAAAUUUAUUUGGAAAGGUAGCUUCAAAAUUGUUUGGGAUGAUUCAGUUUUUUUUAAUGAGUUAAUAAACUUUAAUCAGAAUUAAGUUUACAAAUGUUUAUGAGAAUCAAAUCCAUGAUAUUUAUAGUUUGUGUAAAAAGUGGCACAUAUUUGUGUUUUGGGUGUAUAUAAUAUUUAAGAGGAUUUGGCAUAUUAAAAUAUUAUCCUUGUGAUCCUAAUGUAAAAGGUAUAAUUAAAUGAAUGGUUUUUACUUGUAAGCCAAGGUUUGAGCCAUUUGGAGCCCUGGCUUAUCUCCUCCUUAAUGCCAGAUACUACAAACAAGUGACUGAUUAGUGCAGCUCAAUUACUUGCAAGUAAGCAGGUAAAUGCUUCAUUUCUGGGUGCUCUUUCCUUCUGGGCACCAGCUAUUUCAUUGCCCUAUGUCCUUCUACAGCUAUGUGAGUCUCUUCAGUUCCAGAUGCCCAUGGCCAGUCCUCUCUCCUUUUUAAAACCAUGCUUUAAGGGCAACAUCACCUUGGGGGACAUCCCUCUCCUCCUCCACAGACAAGAUGUUCUCCCAGCUUUGCACUCUCUCCCCUGAAAUGUGUAUGCCUGACCAUCACUGGUGGGUUUACACAUCCAUAAAGGCAUAGACUGUCACUUAGGCCCAGCUAUGCCUAACAGUUGCUUAAUACUUGUUAAAUUGAGCUAACCUAAUGAGUUCAGUUGACAUAAAUUAAAUGUACCAACAAGCCAGAUAAUAGGCUAUUCAUGACUUCACUAACUCUCAUUUGGAGUCUCAUAAAAAUCAUAACAAAUCCUGAGGGAUUUAAAAUAUAAUCUAGUUUUGUUUCUUUCAUUAUUUUUGUGUUCUAUGAAGAAUGCAAAUUUGAAGAAAGUCUUCUAUAGCCUAAAUAGCACACAAAAGCCACUAACUGAUUCUUGGGAAAACCCUUUCUUUUCAGUUGAAUAAACUGAAGAUUUUUUAAUUAUAAAAAUAUGUGUUUGAUUUCUCUUGAAAAAGCAAGAUCAGCCACAAAGGUUUCCAUUCUUUAAAAAAUGCCAAUUUUCUGGGGACCCUCUCCAAUUUAUCACAAUCCUUGCCACCCCUUACAGUUUCUUUGAUUCAGAAAGUAAGUAUCAAGAUGGCAUUGAAAUCCAGAAAUUAUGGCUCUGUAGAUGGUAGCACACCUAGCCUUCUUGCUUCAUUUAUGUUAACUUGCCUAUUACUGAAAGCAAUUAAACUUGAGGACCUCACUUUUGCAAUAAAUGUAUUUUAAUGAAGUAUCAUGGGAAAAACACUGUUUACAAAUCAAACUCCAUAUGUAUAUAACUUACUGUUGAGAAUAAUCUAUUGUAAAUGUAAACUAAUUCUUUUGGGCAUCAAAUAAGCACACUUGUGCAUAUUUCUAUUGCCUUGACAAGAGCUACUUGUUAACUUGUUAUAUGAUUCUGAGAGCUCAAUUUGUUGUAUUAAAAUUCUGUAAAAAUUUAUGCUUUUUAUUAUUAUGACAUUUACUUUUACUUUUGAGCUCAGUGUGAUCAUUCUCCCUUUGCAAGUAAUGUGUUUAAGAUUAUAGCCCUUAUAAAAAUUUUAUCAUAAAAAUAAAAUCAUUGCCAAAACAAGUUUAAGACUGAGCAACAUCAAAAAUUUUGGCUAGAGACAUGGUGAGUUCAUUAGAGCUAUAGAUCCCAACAUUCUUUCUUCCUAGAGAGUUUUCCUUUUUGUUUAUUUUUAAAAGCUUUAUUGGCAUAUAAUUUUCAUAUAACUUUUACCAAGGGUAAAUGUACAAUUCAAUGAUUUUGAAUUUCAGAACAUUUACUUCAUCCCAAAAAGUUCCUUUGUGCUCAUUUGCAGUAUUAUUUCGGUUCCCACCUUCAGCCCUAGGCAAGCUUGAGCCAGGAAUAUCAUUGCCCCACUUAUGACCUCAACCUCAACCUUAUAGAAUUAUUGGCCCUCCCCGCUUACUCAUCAUCAAGAUCAUCAGUUCCACAGAUAAUGCCCCUGGGUGUGGGUGUCUCCACCACACCAAAUAGAGUAGCAGCCUGGCGUUACAGCCUUUCCCCAGCCCUGGCAAAACUCCUGUGUUUAUGAGCUGGAGGACAGGGAAGAAGAGGGUUUGCAGCAGCCUCAGGCAAGAGUGUCUCAUUCCUAUUGGCUUAUUUGAAAUUUGACUGUUUAAAAAGCAUAAAUGGGGUUGGGUCUGUAGCUCAGUGGCAGAGCACUCACCUAGCAUGCAUGAGGCACUGGGUUUGAUCCUCAGCACCACAUAAAAAUAAAAAAUAAAAUAAAGGCAUUCUGUUCAUCUACAACUACAAAAAUAAAUGAAUACAAGCUUAAAUGUUCCCCAAAUUAUUGUUUGUAGUUGUUUUAAGGAAAAGGAUUUAUUGACAUCCUCACUCAGCCAUAGCCAGAAGUCAAAUGUUUUUGUAUAUUUUUUUCACUCUUAAUUUCAGCCUUAAUGUUUUCUGGUUUCUUUCCCAAGGAUGUUAAUGGAAACUGAUUGGAUCUUUGUGCUCCAUAUUCUAUUGCUUUUCCUAGUACUAGUGAUUGAACUCUGGGGCACCUGAACACUGAGCCACAUCCCCAGCUCUAUUUUUUGUAUUUUAUUUAGAGACAGGGUCUCACUGAGUUGCUCCUCACCAUUGCUGAGGCUGGCUUUGAACCCAGGAUCCUCCUGUCUCAGCCUCCUGAGCUGCUGGGAUUAUAGGCAUGGGCCAACACCGCAGGCCAUGGCUUUAAGGUUUUGAUGUCCCAAAGUCAUUUAUCCAGUCCAAAACAACUUCAAUGAGAUGCUAACAACUGAGUGAGUGUCUUUCCAACUAUACACUUUGAAUCAGCAUAUAAAUACCUUAGUGAUAGAAGUGAAGCCUGGAAUCUUCAGUCUCUGAAGCGGAUUGUUUCCUGCUUCUGCUCUACCUACAGGCCUUGACUUCACAAGACACAUGCACUAUUGCAAUGCAUGGAGCCCUUGAUCUCAUGGCUUAGGAAGCAGGCCUCUUAUGAUGAUCAUUUAUGUCUGUGCUGCUGUCUUUCAAAGAACUAUAUAUAAACUCAGCGAUGAUCAUCUUAGUAUGAACCAGCUAUAUCACUGUUAGGACUAAUUCCUCCCAGUGAUUAAAAAACACCAUUGAUAGUGUUUAUUUAUAUUCUUAGUUUCUACUACUAGUAUUUUAAAGCAGGAGGGGGAAAUUAACAACCAAUAUUUAGUAUUUUAGAAAUUAACAACCAGUUUUUAGUACUUGGAUCAAUACUAAAAAUAUCCAAAUACCAAUUGAAAUGAUACAACAUUUUCAUGUUCAGAGGGAAACUUUUUCUGUGACUUUUGAGAUUAUUUUUGCAUAAAUUUCAGAAAAAAAUGUAUUUCCUAUUUUAAUUUAUAUACAAAGAAAUAACUGGGAAGAAUGUGUGCUAGAGUUACAAAUCUCAAUUUCUAAUGUACACGGCUCCUCAAAACUGAACAAAUUCCCUGGUGAUCCUGUUAAAAUGCACAUCUUGCAUUUCUAAUAAGCUCUCUACUGAGACUGAUACUGCUUUUAUGAGCAGUAAGGUGUAGAAGUUCUGGUGUGCUGUUUCAUAAUUUGAAGAUCAAAUCACCCACAUUUCAAUUACCAUUCAGGACCACUCAAACUGGGAAAAUUCUGCAACAUUACCAUUUCCAGCUCACUGAGAGCCUUGUGUUUUGUGACCCAUGCCCUCAAAGCAGAAACUGUCACCAAAUGAUCGCUCUGACAAUAAUUGUGUGUCAUUUCAUGUUCAAAUACCCAUGCUUUCUUUUUUAUCUGGGAGGAGACUGUUAGAAUAAGGAGGUGGCAACCAUAGAUAAGUCUUUUAUUUUCAUGACACCAAUCAUAAAUUUUAAAAACCGAUCCUAAAGGUUUGAAUUGGGGUUUAUUGCAGAUGAUUUCUUAAAAAUCCACAGACAUUCCUUUGGGACCUUGGAUGGAGCAAGAAGUCACAAAGCUCCACAGGUAGAUUUCUGAAAGUAAUGCUGUUUUUCAAAUAGAAAAAUAGCUAAGUAUGUGUUUGGGGUCUUGGGAAAAGAGAAUGAGUGAUCUGCUCAUAAGUAAGUUGACUCUGCUCUACAAGAGCUUAAUUGUUGAUGCUUUAGCAUUUAAUAAAAAUUAUUCUAUUGCUUUGAAAAACAUGUUGUGGAAGAUCUUUCAAAAUAGAUUCCAUUGUAGUCCUUUGUUUGCCAAUUUGGACAUUUUUAUUGUGUCGAAUUUAAGUUGGAGUUGAUUUUCAGGGUAAGAUGCUUUUAUCCAACCCUGCCUGCUUGACAUCAACUAUUUCCUAGACCCCUCCCCCAGCAUACUUGCUUCUUUUAAAAAAAAAAAGAAAUUUAGAUGGGGACACACUUUUAUUUUAUUCAGUUAUUUAUUUGCAGUGCUGAGAAUUGAACCCAGUGCCUCACACAUGCUAGGCAAGUGCUCUACUACUGAGCCACAACUCCAGCUCCUACUUGUUCUUUAUUAUAAUAUUUUCUUUGGAGAACUAGCUUCAUUAUUGACAAUUUCAAUUUAUGAGUUAUGUUGUGGCUAAGGAUUGCCAGGCAUUUAGCUGGAAAUACACAAAAAAGCAGAGUUGGAACCUCACAUAAAACAAAGAUAAUGGCAGUGUUUUCAGUGAUAGAGCCAUCUGAAACUAGCCUGCAAGAAUUAUUUGAUCAAUGGAGAAAGGUAGAAAAGCAACAUACUCAGGAAACCUUAAAAACAAGGUGUUUGGAAAAACACAAAUUAAUUAAAAUAUCACCAAUGCCAUUUCUGUAGGCUUGGACUAAAAUUUGCAGUUGUUAUUUAAUUUCUCCUGCUACAUGGCAUUUUUAAAACAAGUACUGUGAGUUAAAAUGGUAAGCUCCUUUCGAGGAUUAUAAUUUUGUAUGUUUUCUACCAAAGAAGUCA